AGGCAAGGGCACAAUGAGAAAAUGGCCAUCUAUAAAAUUGGAAGACAGCCUUCACCAGGAACCUGAGCAUGCUGGCACCCUGAACUCAAACUUCAGCCUCCAGAACUGAGUUACUAUGAUAUGCAUUAGACAUUAAUAUGCACAUUUGAAUGAGGAGUCAGGUUCCAAGUUACAAUAAAAACCACUUGUAAAGAAUUUUCUCUUGAAUUCAAAUCUUUAAACAGUCACAACAGAUUAAAUUAUUUUUUAAGGAAGUUAUUUAGGUAGCAUGUUCUAUCAUACUUGUAGCUCUACUCUUGGGUUGCCAGUGCUGCUGGGUUGCUUAAGAUGUUAACAUACUGACCUUAGGAGGAACAAGGACAUUCUGAUACUGUUGUGCCCAAUGGAACAAACCUAAUGGGAUCCAGGACUCUCUGUGGAUG